rnacentral:lncRNA from 1 species
ACCCACUUAAAAAAAUGAACUCAUCCACUGCUGCCGUUACUUCUCCAAUAUCAGAAAUUUCCGACAAGUUAAAGACAAAACCAGAAAAUCCAACAUAGUAACAAGAACCAAAAAUAGGCCCCUAGAACACUACCAACUUCAUAAAAUCCCAUGACUACUUCACCAACUAGCCACACACCAUUGGAAAGAACAAUUUGGCAGGAAAAAACAGAGGAAGGAGGGAGGGAGGGACGGAGAGAGACCAACCUAUGGCAGAACAGCAGAUAAUUACGGCACAAAUCACCCUUCUAACCAUCUCAGAGACCGUGGAGAUGUAGCUGCCACUUCUCCUUUCUCCCUAGAACGCAGAAGAAUGAGUAACAGAAGGGGAAGAGGAAGAGGAAGGGGUAGAAGAAGAAGCAGUGACCACCAAAGACUAAAAUCUCGAAAAAAAUUAAAAAGAAAGAACAUAAUCUUCCCAUUUGACUCAAAGUUCCAGGAAAACAACACAACAUACAUAGACAUGCACCCAAAAACUCAACUUCAAAUUCCUUCAAGCUUAAAACGAGAAUAAGUGAUUACAUUACCAUGCUUUCAGGUAAAAAUAUUGCAUUUCCACAGAAACCCGAGAAUAAGAACAAAAAAACCAGGUUUUUCCCCAAAAUCCCAAUUCCAGGCAUCAAUUGUGGGCAGAAAAUCAAGGAACCAACAAUAGAUAGGCAAUGAUCCAGAUCAUAUAAACAGAUAUGAUAAAGAUAAAAAGCCGAGUCUUUGCAUGAUUGCUUCCUUCAAAGCUCCCAAAUAGAUCAGUUUCUGUGCAUGACUGACGUACCAGGUGUAGAGUUCGUGGCAGCAGAGACGAUCGGCCGCCGGCGGGGCGGCGCCCGCCUCUGCUUCCAAUCCGGCGUCACCACAACAACAGCUGGCUCCGCCACCGAUCGUCAGUUGCGAACCAUUUGGAUCCACGAAGGAGGCCCCCAAUUUCCUCCUUCCACGCCAUUCUACGGGGAACGGCAAUUAGGGUUUAAGAGCUCGCAGACGGACCACGGGAUGGAGUCGAUGGUGUGGCGCGAGGAGGUGCAAUAAUGAAUACUGCAGGAACUUGGAUGUAGAUUUACAAUUGUCAGGGGGUUAGGAUUAAAAAUCCCUUGGCACUAAUUUUGCACGAAACCCCGCAAAUAGUUCCUCAUUAACAUUCCAAAUAAUACUUAUAACUGCCAGAAUAAGAUGAAGUUAAAAGUGUUUCAUGUUAAGUUACUCGUAAAUCCGGCGGAAACCGUCGGAACUAGUUUCAGUAAUAAUAUUAUUUUAUUUUAUUUUUUUUUU